rnacentral:rRNA from 1 species
AGUGAACGCUGGCGGUAGGCCUAACACAUGCAAGUCGAACGGCAGCACAGGAGAGCUUGCUCUCUGGGUGGCGAGUGGCGGACGGGUGAGGAAUACAUCGGAAUCUACUUUUUCGUGGGGGAUAACGUAGGGAAACUUACGCUAAUACCGCAUACGACCUACGGGUGAAAGCAGGGGACCUUCGGGCCUUGCGCGAUUGAAUGAGCCGAUGUCGGAUUAGCUAGUUGGCGGGGUAAAGGCCCACCAAGGCGACGAUCCGUAGCUGGUCUGGGAGGAUGAUCAGCCACACUGGAACUGAGACACGGUCCAGACUCCUACGGGAGGCAGCAGUGGGGAAUAUUGGACAAUGGGCGCAAGCCUGAUCCAGCCGUACCGCGUGGGUGAAGAAGGCCUUCGGGUUGUAAAGCCCUUUUGUUGGGAAAGAAAUCCAGCUGGCUAAUACCCGGUUGGGAUGACGGUACCCAAAGAAUAAGCACCGGCUAACUUCGUGCCAGCAGCCGCAGUAA